CGGCUGCGGACUCCGGCGGCGCGCGGCCCGCCGUGCGCAAGGACGGCAGCCUCGACGUGGCCUCCUGCGCCUGGGAGCCGGCCGCCGGCGCCGCCUCCCGCAAGGGGAACGACGUCUGUCCCUGGGAGGACGAGGAGAGCUGUAAGGUGGAUGCUCCAUAUGUGAAGACUUAUGCAACACUUGGUUACCUUUAAACGUUUUUUUAUGAAAAAUUUAUCCUAAAAACAUUAAGUUAGCAUAAUAGAUUAGUUGAAGCCUUCAGAAGUGAGUUGUUGAGAUCUGUGUUGUUAUUCACUUUACAUUCGUAGUGUCAGCAGCUCUGUCCCUUGAAUAAAAGAUAGAAUGGCAUGGUAUACAAUGGCAAAUGGUAGAAUGCAAUGUAGUCACUGUCAAAACUCUUUGAAAGAAUGAUUUAUCAUUAUUAUUUGAGCAGAUUUAUUAAAUUAUGUUGAGUCCUUAAAAUUUCUGCUCUUUUUUAUGAAGCUUCUGGAAUAUUAUUUUCCUGGUGGCUUGGCAUGACUUAGAGUUGUUUCUUGAAUAUUUAAUUUAUUUGUACAAGUAACUAUUUAACUCAUAUUUCAUGUUGCUCACCCAAAGAGCUUUCAUUGAUAUAUCAAUGAUCUGUGUCAUAUACUAAUGAUGAUGUUUGUGCUGCUUUAGAAUAUUGUGACUUGUAUUAAUAACUAAUAAAAAUUGCUUAAAGGGAAAAAAUAGAAGUUAAAUGUAGGACUGUGUGUAAGGACAAGCUUAGAUUUAAUAAACAUGUAAACAGCAGCAUCAUUUUCCUUGUUAAUCUGUGUGGUGGAUCCGGCUGGCGCUGAGUUUGUUCAGUGUGAGGCAAAUGUUGUCAGGACUGAAGAGCUGCAAAACUGAGCCCUUGUAACAGCCACGGCCUGACAAUUGCGUCCCACAAUGGGCUCAACUCUUCUGCGCCCCCGGCGCCCCUCACAAAAGCCAAGCUUUGUCUGCUCAACACAGUAUCUUGAAUCAUAUCUUCUCAAUAAAGUAUCUUAAAGAAAGCUGGUUUCCUUCCUACUAUCAGCUCUGAGUCCAUGUGGUCUUGUUUCAGUCUGUCAAAGGAAAGAUUUUAUCAACAUUUUCAGUACUGAAAAAUUUGCCAAGAGAAUAAAUAAAAGAAAGAAACAAUUAUUUGAUCCACAUUUAAUGCUCUCAAGGAAAGUUUAUAAAAGUCACUAGACCACAGGAUGUGGGCUAUAAUACAGAACCCUGGACCAAUAUGUAGUUGGGGUGAAAAAAUACUGUAUUAACAUAAUAUAUAAUUUCAGUAUUAAUAAAAUGAAAUUUAUUGCUCUGUUUUGAUAAGCAAUGUAGCUAAGUGUGCUACUCUACAUAUAUAUAUGUAUAUCUAUAUAUAGACACAUAUUACAUUCAUAAGUACUGUAUCAGAUUAUUAUAUAAUUAUCUGCAUGUUAACUUAAGUGUGUGUGUGUGUGUUACUAUCACAUACAAACAUAAUCAAAUAAAUUAUGUGGUUAUAUUGGAUGUCGUGGAUGAAUGUGAAUUACUCAAUUAUAAUUAUUACACAUAGUUAUAAAUAUAUUAAACUGAACUGUAGUUUUUAGCUUUCGUAUAAACUUUGCGAUGUUUUAUGUGUGUGGAUGCACACCAUUUGCUUGUUUACUUCAGUACAGUUAGACAAUGUGUCAUAGAUUUUGUAGUUAAUCAUGCCAAGUCAUCAUAGUAGCUUGACAUUAUUUUUAAAGUUAGUAACAGUUUUUUGAUCAGCAGAAAGCUCUAAUUACACAAUAGUUGAGUCAUGAUGAUACAAUAUUGGAUCUUGGAUAAAGAUUUAUCUUGAAGAUAUGUACUUCAUUUAGACUGUGCAAUUGCUUAUUUUUAAUAUAAUUUUAAUGAAAUGGACAGUCAACUUUUCCAGUUACAAAGAUGAGAUUGAUAGCCACAACAAAGAAGAUUCUAUAAUUAGCAUCUGUUCCACACAAUAUCUACAAUCUGAAUAUCUGUGUUGUGCUCUUCUGACCAUGAGUGAUGUGGAUCCUCAUUUAUGGAAUGCAGUUGAUGGAAAUGCUGACAGUACAAAUGCUAGGAAGUGUUAAUAACUAAUGUAAUUUAUCUGAAAUUUUGAACAUGCUCGAACAACCCCAUGCCAACAGCCCACACUGAUAACCUAAUGUGGAGCACUGUGAAGAGAGUGCUUUUAAAAAUCAGACUUCCACAUAAUUUAAAAUGUGAACAAAUUAAAAGUAUUACUUACAUUUUUAUGUAAUUGUCUAAAAUAAGCCUAUUUUAAAGUGGUCAUAAUGUAUUAAUAAUCAUUGUGUUAAUAGAAAUUACAUGUCUUAACUGAUUUUCAACUAAACACAAUCAAAUAUAUUACUACAUAGAAUUGGAAUAGUAAAAGAACAAUACACAAAAUUCAUAUUUCAGAUACUGAUUGGCAUAUAAACUGUUUUAUUCCUUCUCUUAGAUUUAUUUGUUUACAUCUGUAACUGCUUAUUUUACCAACAAAACAAAUGAAAUUAAUUUAAAUGGUACACUUUCCAUUAAAAAUAGCAUUUUUUAAAGUGAGAGAAUUAGUAAUUGUUAGUAAGUGACAUACUAUAAAUGUAUAUAUUAAAGUGUUAAGAAAAAUAAUGUAGUCAUUUGCAUAUAAGUUUACUUCAAAUAACCAAGAGCAGAAACUGAGUAUUAACAAUGAAGAAAUACCAUGAUUAAAAGAAGAUAAUCUGAGUGUUGUUGCUUUUUUU